rnacentral:lncRNA from 1 species
GGUUAAUUUAGAAUUCUACAUGUAUGCUUGAAUUUUGGGGGCACAAAGAUUUGUAAAUAAAAUAUCAUGAAAUUUGUAUAAAAUAAUAUUACCAGCAAUGGUGACAGAAAAUCCUGCUACUUACCGAUACACCGAGAUUGGACUAAAAAUCAUUGGGUCCUACCCUGGUACUUCAGAAUCAAAGGGAUUUAUAAUCAUAAUUAUUUUAAUUAUAAUAAAUCUUUCAUUUCAAAUUCUUAAUGCUCGAGAAGCUUAUGGAAAUAUUGAUAUAUUUAUGAAUAGUUUCGGUCCCACACUACAGAAGUCUUGCAUGAAAAUAUGAAAAUUUCAGGAAUUUUAAUUCAAGUUAUCGCGUUAAGUUACAAUAGUUUAGGCUUCUUCUGUACUUUAGCAAGUGUAUCGUCUUAUUUACAAACAAAGACUCUAGAGGGUUAACAAUAUCCGAUGUCAGCAACGUAUCCCUUUAAAAAGAAAACUUAGCGGAAUUUCGGAUUGAUUAGUCUCAUGCAAGUAAUUGAAAGUUUCAUCGUUGGUAAUGGUCAUGCAGUCAUGGAGUGUCUACUUGCACUGCUUGUAAAUCAUGUGCCAAGUUAGUUAGGCCAAAUACAUGUCAAUGUCAACAUUAAUUUUGUAAAAGUUAUAUUUUUUAAGGUAUUUCACGCUACCACUAAAGUGCAUGUAAUAAGAAAAUCUAUAAAAGAUUAUUCCAAUACUUGCUGCAAAGAAGCCAGUAUAGAUCUCUGUACUGCUGCAACGAAAAAUCUCUUGAUGAAACAUGAAAAUUAUCUGACUUUUGCGAAAAAUAUUAAACAGACAUAUUCAUACGUAGCUUUAAGUAACAUAAUUAGUGUUACUUUGCAACUAUGCGUCGUAGGAUAUGUUUUAAUAACUGUAAGAAAAUAAAAAAUCUUUUAAUAUUCUCUUCAUUUUCAUAAGGAUAAUGUGCAACAAGGAGAGGAGAAACAAGCCAAUUCUAGCGAAGGUGAGAUGCUCAGUACCAGACAAUGACAAGUGCUGAAAUACCUCAACCAGGUCUAAAGUAGCUGUUUUUUUUUUUUUUAAACGGGUCUGUGCAAUAGGCCUAUUUUCAUGCAUUUACAUCGAACGAUUUAGUCGUCCAUAAGUUCACUUAUUGCGCUCAGGUGCAAACGCUUACGCAAGGUUAUAAUUGCAUAUUCUCUUACUAGUAUAAAAAUGCACUAAUAUUAACUAAUUGAAAUGGUAAAGCGAUAGUUCAUAAAAUUCAUUGAUGAUUUCGGUCAAAUUCAAACACUCAAAAAGGCUUGUUCCAUUUCCUUGUUGCAAAAAAGUAUCAAAUUCAUAUUCUACAUUGUUCACGUAUAUAACCAAUUUAACUUUCAGAUAGUUGAAAGUAAUACAAUUUCAACGCAAUUUUUCUCCUACCUAAAUUUUGUAGCAGCUGACUUAUGGGGUGUAGGUGUAUAUAUUGCGUAUCUGGAGAAUAUUUUACCAAGCAGGUUUGUUUUACCUUGUACUCACAAUUUCUGUUCGCAUUAUCCGCAUGUUUUAUUCUUUUCAGAGUGUAUUUUGUAGAAAACUUUUAAUACAUCAAUUAAAUUAUUGUUAUGCAAACGUAUUUUUAGAAUUAUAAAAUGGUUAUAUAAAAGAAUCCACAAUUUUGUCUUCAACUGUUUAAAUCGAAUGUACGACAAACAGGCUUAGAAAUUGAAAUAAUACCCACAAAUAAUCACCCCAAACUCCUUUAUUAAAACCGCAUAUUUACCCUUUUCAUUUCGCAUCAGAUGAUAUUCUUUCCCUUCUGAUAGGAGUAAGGUCUCUUGAAGCCACUAGUAGCAGUACCAGCAGUACAUGCUCCCUCUAUAUAUUCGAUUACUGAAGGGCGCAAAACUUCUCGACUCUCUGGUUUUUUCUCUCUAACGGAGUCUUGAUUAGAGCUCUACGAUGAUUUUUGCUUGGCUGCCAAGAAAAUUAUCCGGCAGAUGGCUCUGAUAGACAGGACACUAAAGCAGCUACUCUACAAUCCGAGGAGCCUUUAUCGAGCCUUCAUUUCAGUCUACACUUCAAGACAGAGAAUGAAAUAGAAAAUCGUUAAUCUAGUGAACUAUUAGAAUGAACUACAGAUGAUUUUUUCCAACUUUAUGUAUACGUUUAAUUUCACUUGUGGAGGCUAAUUCUCAUCGUUACAAGACGCAAUCCAAUUUCCGUCUGGGAUGAAAUCCACUAGCAGAGACGAGAUGUAAACUGUAUCACCCAUAAUACCAGCGCAGAUUGCAGACUCAACUUUCUGAGUUUUAAUCUCGAACUUGAGAAAAGGAGGGAACAACUACAUCUGCCAGACAAGCAAUUGUACAGAUUUUGGUAGGUGCCGAAUCACAUGAUCGUAAAGGACUAAACAUUGAAUGGUAAUGAAAAUGAAGCUUAUAAGUAUCAUCAGUUAAACUAAAAUUCUUUUCUUCACAUUACUUAAGAAAAACAAAAAUCUGCACAUUAUCUAAUCAUUCAAGAUGUAUCAAGAAUAAUGCAUUGCACAAUUUACAGUUUAAAAAAUAUUCACUCAUCUCGUCACACUAAAAUCGGUAAUCGGUCCAAAAGCCUACUCCAAGAUCAAGUGGUUCUCUGACGCGCAAAUUUCAAAUUAAACACGUGCACGGCAAAGUUAGGCACAUCCGCUCAAACUGUCCGUGAAUUGAAAUUAAACGGCCAAGCGAUUUCAAUUUGGCGACAAAUCGAGCUUGCGAUAUGUCUGUACGCUGUGAGCGCGCGCAGAUCGUUAGCACGGAGAUCUACAGGGACGAGGGGUUGCCGACGGCAAAACUUGCUUAAUGAAUUUACGCGAACGCAAAGUUGUGAGUCCCGUUAACUGGCUACCGAGACUUUGAUGGUCACGGAACAAAUUUUCGAAGCUGGUCAUGAUGAGUAUCAGAUUGUAACUGACUGCCGAUGGCAUGUUAGACAUAUUUAUGAUUUAUCGCGAUUUAAAUGUGCGCAAAAUUUCGUUUAGAGAACUCAUUUAUGGGCUUCUUUGCAGAAUGAGGCUUACGGAAAUUUUUGAAGUGGCGCACUACGAGGACACUUUCAAAAGCUACUGUCUGUACAAUGGGAUCGCGCAUGCGUGGAAUCUGGAAACUUUCUCGGCUGCAGAGAGGAUUUCUCUGGGAUGGAACAGCUGGGAAAGUGGAUCCCUUGAAUUUUUGAAAUGUGUUAGGUUUUACAUAAGUUGGUAACAUGCAUGGUUCUGUUCCAAAAGGUGACUACUGAUAAACACAGGCUGAACUCUGAAGAAAUAUCACUGUCGUGUACGCUGUCUCUGAACAAAUAACUACUGAAUCAUCGCAAGGAAUUCGAAACUGCUCCAAAUCACUGAUGGACGCACGGGAAUGCAGACUGGCCUUUCUCCUGCGGCUUGAACAUUCCGGCACUAUUGCCGAGUUUCUGCCUAGCGAAGAUAGAUGGCGCACUUUACCCUCAUCAGAAUUUACGCGCAGAAUGUAUAUAUAGAGGUGUACCACCUACUCCAAAGCAGCCUUGUCGGAUCUGAUGCUAUGACCGCUCAAGUUAUAACUGCAUAUAUACAAUCAUGUGGAUGGUUACAGCUAAGAACUUUAUAAAACUGAAUAAUAAAACUGAACUUUAGAAGCUGAGAGCGAAAAAAGCUUCAUUUACUUUGCUUUCGCUGCUAUACGUCGAAAAUUUUUGUUGUUUUAUGGUCGAAAAAUGUAAGAAACGUUAGCGUAUGUUGUACACGCAACA